rnacentral:rRNA from 1 species
AGAGUUUGAUCCUGGCUCAGGAUGAACGCUGGCGGCGUGCCUAACACAUGCAAGUCGAGCGAUGAAACUGGAUUGAAGUCUUCGGACAGAUUGAAGGUGGAUUAGCGGCGGACGGGUGAGUAACGCGUGGGCAACCUGCCCUAUACUAAGGGAUAGCUCCGGGAAACUGGUGGUAAUACCUUAUAAGCUCCCGACAUGACAUCGUGACGAGAGAAAAGAUUAAUCGGUAUAGGAGGGGCCCGCGUCUGAUUAGAUAGUUGGUGGGGUAACGGCCUACCAAGUCGACGAUCAGUAGCCGACCUGAGAGGGUGAUCGGCCACAUUGGAACUGAGACACGGUCCAAACACCUACGGGUGGCAGCAGUUUCGAAUCAUUCACAAUGGGGGCAACCCUGAUGGUGCGACGUCGCGUGAGGGAUGAAGGUCCUAGGAUUGUAAACCUCUGUCACAUGGGACUAACCGUAAGGUUCAUAGCCUUACCUGAAUUAACCAUGAGAGGAAGCAGUGGCUAACUCCGUGCCAGCAGCCGCGGUAAUACGGAGACUGCGAGCGUUACUCGGAUUCACUGGGCGUAAAGGGAGCGCAGGCGGAUUAGUGUGUUAGGUGUGAAAUACCGGGGCUUAACUUCGGUGCUGCGCCUAAAACUAUUAAUCUAGAGACUUGGAGGGGUAAGCGGAAUUUGUGGAGUAGCGGUAAAAUGCGUAGAUAUCACAGGGAACACCGAUGGCGAAGGCAGCUUACUGGACAAGAUCUGACGCUCAGGCUCGAAAGCGUGGGUAGCAAAAGGGAUUAGAUACCCCUGUAGUCCACGCCCUAAAACGUUGUACACUAGGUCUCGGGGAAAUCAUCCUUUUCGGGGCCCAAGCUAACGCGAUAAGUGUACCGCCUGAGGACUACGACCGCAAGGUUAAAACUCAAAGAAAUUGACGGGGACCCGCACAAGCGGUGGAGCAUGUGGCUUAAUUCGAUGCGACGCGAAGAACCUUACCUGGGUUUGACAUGUAUUAGAAUAUAGCUGAAAGGUUAUAGUCCUUCGGGACUGGUACACAGAUGCUGCAUGGCUGUCGUCAGCUCGUGUCGUGAGAUGUUCGGUUAAGUCCGGCAACGAGCGCAACCCUCGCCCUAUGUUACUCUUCGGAGGUCUCUUAGGGGACAAACCUGAAUUCAGGUGGGAAGGUGGGGAUGACGUCAAGUCAGUAUGGCUCUUACAUCCAGGGCUGCACACGUGCUACAAUGGCCGGUACAAAGGGAAGCUACACUGUAAAGUGAUGCAAAUCUCGAAAGCCGGUCCCAGUUCGGAUUGAGGUCUGCAACUCGACCUCAUGAAGCCGGAAUCGCUAGUAAAGGCGUAUCAGCAACGACGCCUUGAAUACGAUACCGGGUCUUGUACACACCGCCCGUCA